rnacentral:rRNA from 1 species
AGUGAACGCUGGCGGUAGGCCUAACACAUGCAAGUCGAACGGCAGCACAGUAAGAGCUUGCUCUUACGGGUGGCGAGUGGCGGACGGGUGAGGAAUACAUCGGAAUCUACUUUUUCGUGGGGGAUAACGUAGGGAAACUUACGCUAAUACCGCAUACGACCUACGGGUGAAAGCAGGGGAUCUUCGGACCUUGCGCGAUUGAAUGAGCCGAUGUCGGAUUAGCUAGUUGGCGGGGUAAAGGCCCACCAAGGCGACGAUCCGUAGCUGGUCUGAGAGGAUGAUCAGCCACACUGGAGCUGAGACACGGUCCAGACUCCUACGGGAGGCAGCAGAGGGGAAUAUUGGACAAUGGGCGCAAGCCUGAUCCAGCCAUACCGCGUGGGUGAAGAAGGCCUUCGGGUUGUAAAGCCCUUUUGUUGGGAAAGAAAAGCAGCAGGUUAAUACCCCGCUGUUCUGACGGUACCCAAAGAAUAAGCACCGGCUAACUUCGUG